CCUACGGGGGGCAGCAGUGGGGAAUAUUGCGCAAUGGGCGAAAGCCUGACGCAGCGACGCCGCGUGAGGGAUGAAGGUCUUCGGAUCGUAAACCUCUGUCAGCAGGGAAGAACGGUCACUGUGCUAAUCAGCAGUGAAUUGACGGUACCUGCAAAGGAAGCACCGGCUAACUCCGUGCCAGCAGCCGCGGUAAUACGGAGGGUGCGAGCGUUAAUCGGAAUUACUGGGCGUAAAGCGCUCGUAGGCGGUAUGUCAAGUCAAGGGUGAAAUCCCCGGGCUCAACGUGGGAACUGCCUUUGAAACUGGCAGACUGGAGUGUGUGAGAGGAGAGUGGAAUUCGAGGUGUAGGAGUGAAAUCCGUAGAUAUCUGGAGGAACAUCAGUGGCGAAGGCGACUAUCUGGCACAUAACUGACGCUGAGGAGCGAAAGCGUGGGUAGCAAACAGGAUUAGAUACCCCUGUAGUC
rnacentral:rRNA from 1 species